rnacentral:rRNA from 1 species
GAUGAACGCUGGCGGCGUGCCUAAUACAUGCAAGUCGAGCGAAUGGAUUAAGAGCUUGCUCUUAUGAAGUUAGCGGCGGACGGGUGAGUAACACGUGGGUAACCUGCCCAUAAGACUGGGAUAACUCCGGGAAACCGGGGCUAAUACCGGAUAACAUUUUGAACCGCAUGGUUCGAAAUUGAAAGGCGGCUUCGGCUGUCACUUAUGGAUGGACCCGCGUCGCAUUAGCUAGUUGGUGAGGUAACGGCUCACCAAGGCAACGAUGCGUAGUCGACCUGAGAGGGUGAUCGGCCACACUGGGACUGAGACACGGCCCAGACUCCUACGGGAGGCAGCAGUAGGGAAUCUUCCGCAAUGGACGAAAGUCUGACGGAGCAACGCCGCGUGAGUGAUGAAGGCUUUCGGGUCGUAAAACUCUGUUGUUAGGGAAGAACAAGUGCUAGUUGAAUAAGCUGGCACCUUGACGGUACCUAACCAGAAAGCCACGGCUAACUACGUGCAGCCGCCGCCGUAA